GACGAACGCUGGCGGCGUGCCUAAUACAUGCAAGUCGAACGAGAGCGACCGGUGCUUGCACUGGUCAAUCUAGUGGCGAACGGGUGAGUAACACGUGGGUAACCUGCCCAUCAGAGGGGGAUAACAUCCGGAAACGGAUGCUAAAACCGCAUAGGUCUUCGAACCGCAUGGUUUGAAGAGGAAAAGAGGCGCAAGCUUCUGCUGAUGGAUGGACCCGCGGUGCAUUAGCUAGUUGGUGAGGUAACGGCUCACCAAGGCCGUGAUGCAUAGCCGACCUGAGAGGGUGAUCGGACACAUUGGGACUGAGACACGGCCCAAACUCCUACGGGAGGCAGCAGUAGGGAAUCUUCCGCAAUGGACGCAAGUCUGACGGAGCAACGCCGCGUGAGUGAAGAAGGUUUUCGGAUCGUAAAACUCUGUUGUUAGAGAAGAACAAGUGCUAGAGUAACUGUUAGCGCCUUGACGGUAUCUAACCAGAAAGCCACGGCUAACUACGUG
rnacentral:rRNA from 1 species